UACGGGAGGCAGCAGUGGGGAAUAUUGCACAAUGGGCGCAAGCCUGAUGCAGCCAUGCCGCGUGUAUGAAGAAGGCCUUCGGGUUGUAAAGUACUUUCAGUCGUGAGGAAGGUGUUAAGGUUAAUAACCUUAGCAAUUGACGUUAGCGACAGAAGAAGCACCGGCUAACUCCGUGCCAGCAGCCGCGGUAAUACGGAGGGUGCGAGCGUUAAUCGGAAUUACUGGGCGUAAAGGGCACGCAGGCGGUUAAUUAAGUUGGAUGUGAAAUCCCCCGGGCUUAACCUGGGAAUGGCAUUCAAGACUGGUUAGCUAGAGUCUUGUAGAGGGGGUAGAAUUCCAUGUGUAGCGGUGAAAUGCGUAGAGAUGUGGAGGAAUACCGGUGGCGAAGGCGGCCCCUGGACAAAGACUGACGCUCAUGUGCGAAAGCGUGGGGAGCAAACAGGAUUAGAUACC
rnacentral:rRNA from 1 species